CAUAGUGUAGCUUAUCACAAAGCAUCUGGCCUACACCCAAAAGAAUUCACUACAAAUGAACACUAUGA
rnacentral:tRNA from 1 species